UGGAAUGAUGUGGAAACAUGUCAGUGAGCAAUCACCACUGUGAAGGUGCUGCAUGGUUGUCGUCAGCUCGUGCCGUGAGGUGUCGGCUUAAGUGCCAUAACGAGCGCAACCCUUAUCUUUAGUUACUAACAGGUUAUGCUGAGGACUCUAGAGAGACUGCCGUCGUAAGAUGUGAGGAAGGUGGGGAUGACGUCAAAUCAGCACGGCCCUUACGUCCGGGGCUACACACGUGUUACAAUGGGGGGUACAGAAGGCAGCUAGCGGGUGACCGUAUGCUAAUCCCAAAAGCCUCUCUCAGUUCGGAUCGAAGUCUGCAACCCGACUUCGUGAAGCUGGAUUCGCUAGUAAUCGCGCAUCAGCCACGGCGCGGUGAAUACGUUCCCGGGCCUUGUACACACCGCCCGUCAAGCCAUGGGAGCCGGGGGUACCUGAAGUACGUAACCGCAAGGAUCGUCCUAGGGUAAAACUGGUGACUGGGGCUAAGUCGUAACAAGGUAGCCGUACCGGAAGGUGCGGCUGGAACACC
rnacentral:rRNA from 1 species